UGGGGAAUAUUGCACAAUGGGCGCAAGCCUGAUGCAGCCAUGCCGCGUGUGUGAAGAAGGCCUUCGGGUUGUAAAGCACUUUCAGCGGGGAGGAAGGCGUUAAGGUUAAUAACCUCACCGAUUGACGUUACCCGCAGAAGAAGCACCGGCUAACUCCGUGCCAGCAGCCGCGGUAAUACGGAGGGUGCAAGCGUUAAUCGGAAUUACUGGGCGUAAAGCGCACGCAGGCGGUCUGUCAAGUCGGAUGUGAAAUCCCCGGGCUCAACCUGGGAACUGCAUUCGAAACUGGCAGGCUAGAGUCUUGUAGAGGGGGGUAGAAUUCCAGGUGUAGCGGUGAAAUGCGUAGAGAUCUGGAGGAAUACCGGUGGCGAAGGCGGCCCCCUGGACAAAGACUGACGCUCAGGUGCGAAAGCGUGGGGAGCAAACAGG
rnacentral:rRNA from 1 species